rnacentral:tRNA from 1 species
UCCCUGGAGGUCCACUGGUUAAGACUCUGCACUUCCACUGCAGAGGGCAUAGGUUCCAUCCCUGGUCAGAGAA